ensembl:lncRNA
UUUGUGAGCUGAAACUGUGUGAACUUGACACACGGUGUUGAAAUACUUCUUGCUUUUGUCCUUUGGAUGAUGUUUUUAACAUUCUGGAGAGUUUUCUGCUGGAAUGGACCUGAGACAAGUCUGAGGCGUGAGGCUGGAAGUCCACCCAGCUCUAGGCCUGCCGGUCAGCAUGGCUUCAGAUGUGUGGAACUGAGCUGAGCAAGAGUGACUGCUGGAAGGAGCUGUGGGGAAGCCUGGAACGAGCUGCGGAGCUGCAAGUGCAUGUUUGAGGAGACCAAAAUACACUUGCCACUGGCCAAACUCUUCUGCUGUGAUGAGUAAGCAGACUUCCGACUGCCUUUACCUCGUACCGAGCUAGGCCAAUAAACAGCGUGGCUGAAAAUCCCAGGGCAAGGAGUUUCCAGCAGACACUGGCAACUGCCCUCCCAAAUCAGGGUCCGGUUUCCAACAGCAGGAGCAAGGCCAAGCUCAACAAUGAAGUUAAAAGCCAAACUGUGGAGAAACUAGCUUCCUUACGUUGGAAAUGCAUCAAAAAAAGGGCAGCAGUUCAAAAGGGAAAAUGAGUAAAUCUGUGAAGACUUUCCUUGAAGCUCAGCACCGGGUUGUUGUUCCUUGAGAUGACCCCAGGAGAGCUGAGUGAGAACAAGAAGCAGUGAGAGUUGGCCUAGGGGCCCCCAGAACCUGCUUGGGUGCAGACAGCUGAGCGUAGGGAAAGCAGUUCUCUGAAACCUUGUUCUUGGGCUGAGCCAGAUUUUUAGGUCAUCUUAAAGUUUGAUUCUUCAUCUGCCUUGGGUGGAGGUGGUUUUUCAGUGGUGUGUAUGUAGUAAUACAUAUUGGAUGUGGUUCAAGUUGUCAUGAGAUGGAGGGGGAAAAAAAAAAGGUCACAAUGCUGCAAUUCUGUCUUCUAGUUUGGAUGGGCUGAGAGCUCUCCCCCUUAGGAGCUCUGAGGGCACCAUGAAAUCUGAAGGGGCUUCAUGAGAUCCAGCAUGUACAAGCUCAGGGCAAAUCCACCUGAAUCUUGGGAGUAACCAAUGGCUUUAAACUGGAGGAGGGUAGAUUUAGAAUAGUCAUUAGGAAGAAAUUCUGUACUGAGGGUGGUGAGACACUGGAACAGAUUGCAUAGUGAGGUUGUGGGUGCCCCCUCCCUGGAAGGCCAGGCUGGAUGGGGUUGUGAGCAACCUGUUCUAGAGGGAGGUGUCCCUGCCUGCAGCAGGGGGUUGGAACUACAUGAUCUUAAAGGUCUCUUCCAACCCAAGCCACUCUAUGAGUCGGUAAGGACAGAGAAUAAAAAUGGCCAGUCAUUAAAAUCAAAGAACAAGCCUAUCUGACCUUCCUGAAGGGCAGCAGAUGCGUUGGUCAAGGAGUAUGGGAAGAAGGGGAGAAGAGUUUGUGGAUCAUUUAAAUCAUGGUCAUCUGCUUUCCAGUACUAUAUAUAUUCAGGAUCUUCAGGAGCUGGAAGCUGGGUAUUUUUGCCAAGCUUUUGAAUCUCAAGAAGAAGGUCUUGUUCAGAGUAUCUGCUUGUUUUGUGCUCCCUGAGGAGGCCACAGUAAGUGGUCAUUCUUCCUUCCAUUAGUUUUAUUACCGAGAGCAAGCCUGUUCUGCCUCUCUCUUGCUGCUGCUUUAAUCAAAGCCUUGUUCCCAGAUAGCCAUCAGAAAAGACAUCUGCAAUUCAAUUAGAUCUGUGCUUACACUAGCAGUCUCUGUGAAGCCGACUGCUGUCAGAGCACUGUGCCCUCCACGUUGUGCUUGCUGUGGCUGCAGCAUUGACACUCGGCCCCUUCUGCCUCCUCCGUGGGCUCAUCCUCUUGCUGGGCCUCCGGCUUGCAGGCGCAUUCAGGGGCUUGAGACAAGGACCUGUGUCUCAUAGGAUGUUGGUAGGAGUGCUUCCUCCAUAACCAGGACAAGUCUGACUCCUUUCUUCUCAUGGACUUCAGCCUGUAAAAGCAUAUCCCCUGUUGGUGGCUGCCUUGAUCUCCUACAGGGCCAUCAGACUCAAAAGCUGAGCAUCUGUGAGGAAUGGCUCUUCAGAAAUACUUCCUUGACCUCCUCUGUGGGCUGCUGUCCCAGAGAUGAAGGUGCCCUCCCAGUGGUGUCAGGCUGUCCCCGCACACAUAUCGCAGCCUUGUGUAAAAGUGCUCUGAAGGGUGUUAUUGAGUGAUUUAAUGGUCGCAUUUCAAGUGUUUCUUAGAGCUGGUUAUAAAGACUCACAAAAUCACAAGUGAAAGGCGUCAGAAGAGAGGCUUGUGUGGGCUUCCGUUUAGAAAAGAUACAGUUGUCAGAAACCCCAAACCAGAAGAGAAGAGAGAAGUAAAGGUGAUUGGUGGGAGUGGAUGUGGUUUGCAGCUUGCUGCAAGCUUUGCCUCCUUCAGUUCUUUGCUUGAUGGAGAGGCAGAUGUAGCUCAGACCAACAGAGCUGACCUCACCGCUGAUGGAUCAGGGUUGCUGUGCCGCCUGGAUCUGGGGGCAGAACGGAGAUUGCUGUACCUCACCGCAGUCAUGCCAGGAGAUUGGAUGUGUCUGCUUUGAAUUUGAGGACACGUUUGUCAUUUCCUUCAAAUAGAAUUGUGACAUUAAUUCUCUUGGCUGCAGUAGACAUCGCUCCAUUUAAGACUUCCCACAAAGCACAUGGUCCAGCUUCAGAAGAGGACAAGGGGAGUGAAAAUACUCAGCAGCGCCUUGGUCAGAAGGCUGCUACCAUUCUCCAUCUGCCCUUUAUAAGGGAUUCACUCCAAUUUGGACAAAAAAAGUGCUUUGGGACAGUCAGGAUGAGAUGAGGAGAGGAUGGAAAUGUAGAUACUUGUAGAUGGCGUAGGAAAAUGUGCCCCAGUCCUUCUUCCUAUCUCCAUAGGCUUUGCCUUCAAACCUGAUUGGGAAUGGUGGUGGGUCAGGUUCAGUCAUGUUCUUAAUGAAUGCCAGCUAUCAAUUUAAUGGAUUUGUGUGGAGGACCUGAGCCAGGACAGACUGUUUUCUCAGAGGGCCGUUAUUCCUGUUUACUUCUUAAGGGCCACAAACACACUCAGGCUUUUCAAGGAAUGCCAGGGCAUGCAGGGAAAGCUGAAGCAGCUCCAGCCUAUGAUAGAUAUGAAUAAAACAUGGCUGGGGAUGUGAAGGCAGUUCUAGGGUACAGGGUGACUGUGAGAGCCAUCGUAUGUGGCCUGUUGGAUACCAACACCCGUGUUGGAAAAGUCAUAGCUGAACCGUGUUUUUAUUGCAGCCCUGAACUGCUACUGGCAUUUGGUGGCCUCAGUAGCCAGUGAGGUCCCCUUCCUAGGAGAGGCACGGUUUGGGGGACAGGGUCCUGAAAUGCCACCUGGCUUAAUGAGAACAGGUUUCUGGAGCUGCUCUGAGCUCUUGGUAUUCAUAUUGCCUGGGGCAAGUGAGGAUGCAGCCUUAUCUACUCCAGGAUUGGCUCCCAAAUCCCUGUGGGAUAAAGGGAUCUUAACAUUCUUAUUACAUUUUUACUGCCUGGACAUUGCCCUGGGCACCCUGCUCCGGGUGUCCCUGCUGGAGCAGGGGUUGGACCACAUAGAUCCAGAGGGACCCUGACAGCCUCAGCUGUGCUGCGAGUCUGUGGCUUUUAAUAAACGAAGAGGAAUGUCAAUGGGUAGGGAAGUCUACUAUGGGCCUCUAUUUGUUUCACAAGGCUGCCAGUGGAGAUCUGAGGAUAUUUCUGGGACACGUUUCCUGGCUCCCUGCUGUAGUCUAUGUAUCUACGACAAGCCUUCCCCUUGCCUGCCUACUGGAAAGCCCCAUGGAAUAUAGGAGAGUAUUUGAAUAGCCCAGGGAAAGUGAGAUUCACAUUUUUGAUUGGUGUUGGUGCUGCUGUCUUCCAUCCUAUUGCUGAAAUACUGUUCCUGUCAUUGGAGACAGAGGCAACAGAACUGGCAUUUCCAUGAUGGAAAUGGAAAUCAGCAGGGAGCUAAAUGAUGUUGUUUGCAGCAGGGUUGGAUCCUUUCCUUUUUUCCCAAAAUAAACUUAACGUAGGCAUUUGAAUUAAUGGGGAGGAAUGCAAAAUGUAAAAAACAAACACA